rnacentral:tRNA from 1 species
GUCCACAUGGCCGAGUGGUCAAAGCGGAAGACUUUUACUCUUGGACUGCAGGGGUCACUGGUUCGAGCCCAGUUGAGGGUU